rnacentral:misc_RNA from 1 species
AGCUCUUUCUCACAUCCCCAAUCUUGACUACUCUCCUUUAUUCUUGCAAGUUAUAGCCUCUCCAUCAUCCUCUUUUCAUACCCAUCUCUCAAUUUCAUACUCACAUACCCCUCUCUCAAUUUCACACUCAAUAAAUCCAGUGCAAGAAUCUCCUUUGAAGUUGAACAACAGUCCCCACCUCUAAGUGGUCGAAGCGCAGCCUUUCUUUUACGGUUUUGGUUGAACAGCGGUGAUUUCACACCUAGUUUGGUUCGGUAGGCCCAAACCCAUCUGCAUAAUGCCAACUUUUCGCUCAUCCAUUAGGCUGAUUCAGUACACCAUCGUGUUCCUUCAGUCGCAUUUGGUUCUGGUUCCUGCAGUCUGUUCAGGCUAACGUAUUUGAGUGUGGGUAUUGUUUAAAAUCUUUUAUUACUACCUUUGCUGAAUUUGAGUUUUGCCCUUUUGAGAUUGGUCGAUUUUUUUU